CCUCCCUCACUGCCUCCUUCUCUGCACCGAGGGCAAAAGCUGUGGCUGAUCUCAUCCUCAGGAAGGAGUUCUCCUGCUGUGGGCUGGACAGUGCAGAAGCACUGAUGUAGAAAGAAGAGUGAAAAAGAGUGAGCAGAGAGACCCCGUCCCAUGGAGCAUCCCAGAGGAUUGCAGUUGGAGUUUGCCCAGCAACCAGCCCAAAAUGCUCUUUGGCUGCUGGGAAACCACUUUCUGUCCCUUUCGGUGCCUGAUUUCAGAGCUGUGAAUGGCUGCACCGUGCAUCCCCACGUACCGGUCGCUGUCCCUUGGUCCCUCUGCUUUUCCAGCAGCCCAAGCGGGUGAAAGCAUCCCUUUGUGCUGCAGGAACGCGGCCGUGUGCCCUGCCAGCCCUCCCGCCCCACGCCGCGCACCCAGCCCUAGAUUAGCGCGGCUAUCAGGACACAUUUAGAUAUGGACCAUUUCCUCCGCCGUCGCCAGUGCUGGGGGACGGAGUGUGGGAAAGCUCUUCCCAGGGCGCGGGGCCCUUCUCUCGCCCGCGUUCUUGCCCAAUCCCUGCUCUGGGGCCGGUGGUUAAUCGGAUUCCCACUGCGCCGGGCGCGAUGCAGCCGCAGCGUGUGACCCUCUGGGGGUGCGGCGUGGCUGUGGAGCCCUGUGGGAACCAGGGCGAGAAAAGCUCCGCCAGAAAUGGGGAGAUUGUUCAGGGUUCAGUAGUCAAGGUCUCUUCCAGCAAGGCCACUGUGUCUUGGGAGCUCGCAUCCCACCUGUGAUUUGUGCCCCCCACCCCCACAUCAGGACGGCCUAUGGAGCGGGUGGCGUUAACCCUUGGUGGUCUGGGUCAUUGGAAAUCAGUUUUAGAGGGGCAGAAAAGCGUUUGGAUGCAGCCUGAAUGAGCACUUGUUGUUCUGUGGUGUCUGUGGCAUACAGGUGGUGUAUCCUUGUGCUCCGGACAGGCAGAACUGGGUGCUAUGUGGGAGCACCUUGCCAGAUGGCAUUGCUAUCCCCUCUCUGUCACUGGAAGUAAUAGGGAAUACAGAGGUUAUAUGGCUUCUUCCCAGCUGACAGCACAAUGGGGAGUUCUGGGUUUCUGUGCCAUGCCGUGCUGUUGGAUGUGGGUUGUUGCAUGCUGUAUGGAUUGGAGCAGAAUGCUGAGAGUGAGCAGGGCAUAGAUAGGUUUUGGUGGGGACCGUGGCCCCAGAGACCUCUCCUGUAUUCCCCAGAAGAGCCAAAGCACCAGGAGGAAAGACCAUGGCACUGCUCCUUGAGGAACUGGGACCACAGGGCUGGUGGAUGCCCGUGAAAGGGGGAAUUGAAAAGAGAAGAAUCUGUGUCCCAUGGCUGAGAGAUGUGAACACCCAGACUCUAAGGCUGCUGUGCAUGGAAGAAGGACAGGAGCUGUCUUUGGAAAUUUAUUCCUCACUCUUGGGGCAUUUUGCAGCCGGUGGGCCAUGCUGCUGGUGCUCAUGCAAGGGAAACCCUGGGAAAGACCCCUGGGACUGGCUCGUGGGAACGGGCUGGCACAGACCCCCUGUGGGGCCAUUUCCCAAUGCCAGUGCCAAUUCUGACACCUCCUCCCGGCACCCUGCUGUGCCCCCACUCUGCUCCCGUGCAGCCCGCAGCCUCCUGCCAGCCUGGGGCUCCCGGCCCAUGGCUGCAGCACGGGGAAGGGAGGAUGGCAAACUUCACACCAGUGUGUCAGGCUCCCAGCACACCUCCCUCUCCUCCUGCCUUGGAUGUUGUUGUGAACACAUCAGUGGCAGUAAAGAGGUUAAUGGGAGUGGGAGGAGGGAGAGGGGGGAGAGUGAAGCUGUUCCCAUGAACUGGCUCCAAAGCUUUUACAGAAGUGGAGCAUCUGGCCAUGGGGCUCAUUUGCCCCGGAGCAGAUGGUCCUGUCCUCUGUCCCAGGCAUGGGCGAUGGGCUGUGGCUGAUGCUGGGCCCAAAGGGCCUUUUGUCUCUUGGAGAUUUCACAGAAGGCAGUGCUGAGCCCCAUGAAGGAGAGAGGGGCUGGGAAGGGAUCCCAGGGAGAGCUCAGCAGUUCUCAGCCUAAAUAUGCUCUUGUAGGUGUUUUGUUUUUUUUAAAGUCUCCUAAGCUCAGUGUUGACCCCUUAACCCACAGCCCAGUGCUGGGCUCACUUGGUCCAAGUAUGCCCUGAAGGCUACUUUGGCUCUGCCUUUCUCCAUAGCAGGGAAUUAUACCCCAACAACAGAUGCUGUGCUCACCGCACAAAGCAGUGCGUUGGGUGGAGAGCAUCCUAGCCAAGGGUGUCACAAAAAAGAGACAUACAAUGUGAUAGUUCAGUGCUUUGAGCAGAGCUGAGCUUAGCUGGCUCCUGGAUUUCCUAAGAGCUGCAUGGGAAGUUCCCAUGCCAGAAGCUGCUGGGCAAGGCUGGAGCACCAUCCUGGAGCAGGACCUCAGCAUCACACUCCACUUUGUUUUCUCUCUGUGGUAGCAGGUGUGACAUCCAUCUUUGGUAUUUGGAGCACACUGCAAUUAGUUGCCAUGUGUUUUGGACCUGUCCCUGAUGACAGGGUGGCCAGGGGGACAGUGAAGAUGCUCUCAUCCCGAUGUCUCCUCCAGUUUGUGCAGGCCAGGCUCCACCUCCAUCCAUGCUGGAGAAUAGGCCCCUUGCUUAUCCCUCUCUGAAGACAGAGUCAAUCUGCCUGAUUCACCCCUAUCUCAGCCUGCAAUCUCCAGCGAAAUAGCUCUGGGCCAUCUCCUCUGCAGCUGUGACAUAAUUACUGUUACCGGAGAUUGAAGCAAAACCUCCCUUUGCUCUCUGUGCACUGCAGCCCCUUCUCAGUACUGCAUUGUGUUGUGGAACAGCCCUCACCUUUUCCAGGUUUCUACCUAGGGCUGAGGAUGUGAGGUCCUUUUCUUGGCUCUGCUUUAUCCUUCCUUAGAGGACUUUGUACACCAAUGCCUCUUCUCUUCUUGCUUCUUAAAGCAGUGACCCACCCCUGCCAAUGCAGAAUGUUAUGAUUUUUAAAGAUAUCCCAUCGCUGGAGUCCUGAGGCUCCUCUAGGAUUUGUCCUGAGCCCGUCCUGGAGACCUGCCCACAGAGGUGGGAGAAAUGGCUGAGCCUGCCUCCAGGUGAGCCUCCAUCAUCCCACAGAGACUGUGAUUUCCUCCAUCCCUUUGCCAAGAAUAAAGAGGACUGAUGACAUCUGCAACUUUGCCAACACGUUCCUUAGCCUUCUGAGUCUCCAAGCAUCCAGGACAGCUGUAAGUUAUUCUCAGAGAGCCUACAUCCUCCUAUCCCGCUGGAUUUUCCUACCUUGGCUCCACCACAUCCCUAAGGGAGGACAGUGCUAGUUCAGAUCUUCCUCUGGACGCCUGUUUACUGGAGCAGGGGAGCGGUUUUCCAGAUGUUCUGGAGGGAAGUGGCUCCAUCCAGGGACCUGCCCAUUGAGCACUUUGUGUCCUCGCUAAGACAUCUUUUCCUUGCAUGGAGGAUGCGUGUGUUCGGCAGCCGGCUUGGCUUGCAUCAGCUUGGAACUGCUCCCAGACACCUCGUCCAGGGCUGCACACUCACACAUGUCACAGCGGCUGCAGGCUGUUGGCCCCAGGGAGAGACUGGUCUCCUGUUCCCCAUCUGCAGCACAGAUCAUUCUGCUCAUCCUAGAGCAUCCCUCCCAGAUCAGGUCAUCUUCCCAGUCAGCCAUCCUGGAGGCACGCACCCCUCUGGUGUCCCCCACUGUCCCCAUUGUCCCCAACACACUCACUUUCACCAUUUCCCACCAAACCCAUCCUGCUGGACCACACCAACUUGAUGGGGGCAGCUCAGCAGAGUGCUGCUCUUCCUCGAUGCUGUAGAAAGGAGCGGCCUGGUUUGGAGAACUGAGAAUAAUAGAAGGAAAUGCAACGUGUUGAAGUGCAGUAGGAUGAGGGUAUCUGGCUGCUAAAUACAACAGGGGAAAGUCAAUGGCAAACAGCUGCAGUGCAGAUGCUGAGCAGAAACAAAAGUCUCUCCGAGGGCGGGCUGCAACUAAGCAGCAGAUGCAGCCUGGGAUGAGCAAAUUGUUUUAUCACAGAGUGAGGAGAUCAUUUGUCACCUUAAACAAAACCAGUGUGCCACAAAUGGGAAACUGCAAAUUCUCAAUGACAGUGUGCUGCAGUGCAGAGAAACCGCAGAUGAUGCUGAGGAAUGGAUCCAGGACACUGAGACGUGGAGGAAGCCCUGGUCAGGAGGAGAAAUGCCUUGAUCCAACUGCAGCCCCUGCUUAGGUUAAGCCAGUAAACAGCCCUAUUUGUUCUCAAGCACUUCAGUGUUUUAUUGGGCCAGGAUAUUAAAUGUGAUGAAAAGCCUGUCUGAACCCAGAACAGAGACUCAACAGAGAGGAGGGAGGAAUCGAUCUGUAAGCAUGAGAAGGCUGGAGAUAAGGAAUUGGUCAUGGGCUGGGUGCUGCUGGUGAGGCAGUGCAAAGCCAGCACUGUCUUUAUAGGGUCUGAAUGCAGUCAGGAGCUGCAGUACAUCAAAUAUUUUAAUGGGGAGGGGUGCUGAUUUCUUCGGGAGGAAGAGGCAAAACAGGCUCCUCAGACUUGUAGGUGCUCCUGGCAUCCUCCCACCCUGAUGGGCAGGGGCACACCAGGCUCUGUGAUGCUGGCAGCCCUGUGCCUCCCCAUGCCUUUCUCCAAUGAUCACUGAGUUUUCUGAGUUGUUUCUAUUUCCCUAGUGCAGAACCAGGAAUGAGAGGAUGCACCCUCCUCCAACCAUAUUUUUAUACAGUGAUCAGCAAUCACCAUCCAUUCCUUUGUGUGUGUUUCACCCUCUCCAUCUCCAUGCUUUAGGCUUGGGGCUGCUUGCCAAGGGCACAGAGCUUCCAUGCAUACCUGCUCUUCUACAGACAUCUGAGUAGAGAAGAGAUAGUGCCGGCAAACAGAUGUCGACAGCUCCUCGCUGGGAAGCAGUCCCUCUGGACAAGUCGGGUCAGCCAGGAGUACCAGUGACUUUCUGCAUUGUCCUAAAACUCCCAGCCUGAACCACACCGUGGGUUCCCACAGCUGCACUCACAAAGGAGACACAACGGGCUCCUCUGGGGACAAAACCUAAUCUGAGAGAUACCAGGCUGAGAAAGCUCUUCCUAAAAAAGACACAGUCAAAAGCUCUCGGAUGCCCUGUGUCCGCUGAUACCCGAUCCAGCCGCCUGUGCUACCAUUACCUCCAGGCAGGCUUUGUCCGCUGUGGCUCCCCUGAAUGUCACACUUGUUCCCAAAUACCAAAGGAGAACAAUGCAGGGGCAAGGCAAGGAAAAGCCUCCUCUGUCCCUCCCAGCCCGAGAGUAAAUAUCAAAUGCCUGUGCUGAGGGGGAGGGAGGGGAACAGUGAGCAGGGGGACAAAAAGGAAAAAGUCAGCAGUUGAGAAAUGUCACAGUGAAACUGGGUCAUGGCUAUAGGGUGGCAGGUAGAAUAGAACCCAUAUCUCUGUGUUGGGAGGCCUGGUGAGCAGCUCCUUCACACAAAGCCCCAGCAUCCUCUGCCCCAUGGGGCAUGAGCUGGAUGCAAUAUGGUUUUCCAUCCCUAUCUUCUCUCCCCACUGGUGAUGAAGUCAAGUCCUCUUCAGCCCCCUCCUUCCUGCUGGCUGCACAGUUUCUUCCACUCUUAACGUGUCCCUUUGUCCCUUGAAGGGAAUGUGCAUCCAGCUGAAAGUGCCAACAGCCCUGUCUCAUCCCGGAUGGGGACAUGGUCCUCCCACGUCCCUUUGCUCCCCAGAGCUCAGGCAGUGCAGGCAGGAGCCUGGCUCUAUCAAAGGCUGUUGGAAAUGCAAAUAAACACCACCAUGAGUGCAGUGGUUAUCAGCUGUGCAUCCUCUUCCUUGUCUGAGCGUGAAAGGGAAAAUCAACUCAAAAUAUGCAUUUCUGCCUGCACAGCUGUCCUUGCCCAUAGACCGAUGGAGGGGCUGGCAGGUCCAUGGCUUGGACAGCCUGUCCAAUGGGACAGGAAAAUUGGAUUUCUGACCCCAGACUCACAGAUACUAGAGGCUGCUUUCCCAGAGAUUUUGCCAGGCUUUUCUGCAAUCCUGUAAUGAAUCACUGGGAUCAUGGAAGGAGGCAAAGCAGCAAGAACAGAGGGCAGGUGAGCUUGAAAAACCAAUCCAACUGAGCCCACAAGACCAAGAUGGAAAGUCUUAUUUAAGAUAAAUUGGAGAAGUAAAGGCUGGGUUUGGGGUGUCUAGCUCUGAACUAACACAGAUGCGAGGACAAUACAUCUGUUCUCAUUUUGUCUGGUAUAUACAACAGGGAAGGUUCAGAGGGAUCUCAUUUGGGUCUUAUCAGUGAUGAGGUCCCAGGGACAAGGCUGGACACAAUGCCAUGUUAUAUCCUUGGUGGACCGUAAUGGGAAGUUUGAGAAGUGACCCCACUGAGCAAGCCAAGGCAGCGCCGACUGCUGAAACUGCAUUUUGGAGAUGAAUAGAGUCUCAUGUGUUGCAAAAGUUGAUGGAAGACUUCCUGCAAAGAGAGGACAACCCAGGAGCAGCCCCAUCUGUUGCCAAAUGGCCACACAGGGAGUGUGACCUUGUCUCGUAAGAUAACGAGAUUUAUUCUGCUCCUUUUGAUAGGACAUUGAUUAAGUCUUCCAUGCUAGUGAGGGCACCAGAGGUUCAAAGUGCCGAAGGGGCAGCAUGGAGUAAUGCAAGACAAGGCUUCCUUGGCUAUGCCCAGAGAUUUAUGGAUGCUGUUUAUCACAGUGCAGGACUGGUUAUGAAUAUCCAACUGCUUGUGACCAGAAAGGCAGACUCCAUCCAACCCGCCGCAUGGAGAUGAACUCCAAACAAGCCUUAAGACCCUUGGCACAUCGGGAACCCAAACAGAGUGCUCUGCCAGCAUUGGGCCCUGCUCAGCUGGCUGCUGUCCCAGCGCUGUGCCUCUCAAUGCUGGAGUGAUGAGUUCUCUGUGUGACCAAGCUGGGGAUCCCACCGAGCUGGGAGGGUGU